UAUUUGAUUACAGCUAAAUUAAUGCAGCCUUCCAACAUGCAAAUGUUCCCCUCCCCCAUCCUAGAGGGUUACAGUUGAAAACUAAAUGAUUUUCCUCUCCUAGGAGCAGCAUAUCCCAAACCCAAAUUGCUGGGAAUGAGCCUGAGCUCAUUCUAGUUCUCAAAUGGUUGCUUACAGAGACUACUUUUAAACACAGGAUGGUGUUAUCUGGCAACUCUAUUUUUAACAGGUGCCAUUUUAGGAGCCUGUAAAUCCAUCACAGUCAUUCAGUAUCACUGUCAGGAACACAACAGUCCAAAACACCUACUGCAUGGUUAUGAAACGGCCAAAGCUUAAUCCACCGCCAGGAAGAUAGUGUCCUCAACCCCCGUGUCAGGAUGGACUUAGGGUCUGGGAGAGGAGGACACAGACAUGACCAGGAAGGAGGCAGGGGUGGGGGAUUUGGAGUUGAGAAGACCCAGGUUAACAUACUGACUUGGACAUGAGUGCAAGUUACUGAAACUUUUUGAGCCCCAGUUUAUUCUUUUGAAAGAAGAGAUAAUACAUAUUUUUAUGUUGUUUUAAUGAUUAAAUGAAAAACUAUAUAGAAAGUGCUUGGCACAGUGCCUGGCACAGAAAGAAAACUUUAUUAAAUGGUAGCUGUUGUUAAUAUUAAAAGGGUGGGUAAGGCAGUGGGAAGAGUGAAGAAAGGGAGAAUUAAGAGAGACAGAAGUGUCUAGAACAGGCCAAUCUACAGAGACAGAAAGCAAAUUAGUAGUUAUAAGAGGCUAAGAGAAGGAGGGACUUGGGACUAACUGUAAUGGUUAUAGGGUUUCUUUUGGGGGUGACGAAAAUGUUCUGGAAUUAGAUGAUGAAAGCCAUACACAUACACAAAAUGCAAGAGAGCUAGAAGCCUAAGGAAAUUGAUGAGAAGAGGGAGAAGGAGACAAAGCAGAGAAGCUGAGGAAGGGGACAACCAUGACAUGGAGAAGGGCGCCUGUGCGUGUGCACAUGCACGAGUACAUGCAGUGUAAUUUGGAUCUUACCCCCCCUGAGAUGGCGUGGGCUGCAAGUUUAGAAGUCCACACUGGCUGCCAUGUGAACCUUCUUCCAGGCAGCAUCAAUUACGCGUAGCUUACUUGUUCAUGUGCCUUCCCAAUCGGACUGGAAGGUCCUGCAGGGAACCUCAGUCUCCUUCUGUGAUCCUGGUGCCGUGCACAAUGCCAGCCACACGGGGUGGCUCUUGGUAAGUGACAUUGGAAUGAAUCAGGACAGUGACUCCUAUGCUUCGUGCCACCUGGUCCUGAAGACAAUCCGCUGUGUGGCUCUUUACCAGAGGAUCAGAAGUUGCUCACAGCAGGACAGGGAAAUAAUGGGCUGAAACACACACACCUCAGAUUCUGCUGAAGUCUGGUAUUUUCUUCCUAAACACUAAGAUCUGUUUUCUGUUGAGUACAGUUUUACUAUUAUUAUUGAGUAAACCA